UGGGGAAUAUUGGACAAUGGGCGAAAGCCUGAUCCAGCCAUGCCGCGUGUGUGAAGAAGGUCUUCGGAUUGUAAAGCACUUUAAGUUGGGAGGAAGGGCAGUUACCUAAUACGUGAUUGUUUUGACGUUACCGACAGAAUAAGCACCGGCUAACUACGUGCCAGCAGCCGCGGUAAUACGUAGGGUGCGAGCGUUAAUCGGAAUUACUGGGCGUAAAGCGUGCGCAGGCGGUUAUGUAAGACAGAUGUGAAAUCCCCGGGCUCAACCUGGGAACUGCAUUCAAAACUGACUGACUAGAGUAUGGUAGAGGGUGGUGGAAUUUCCUGUGUGGCGGUGAAAUGCGUAGAUAUAGGAAGGAACACCAGUGGCGAAGGCGACCACCUGGACUGAUACUGACACUGAGGUGCGAAAGCGUGGGGAGCAAACA
rnacentral:rRNA from 1 species